rnacentral:rRNA from 1 species
UACGAAGGGGGCUAGCGUUGCUCGGAAUGACUGGGCGUAAAGGGCGCGUAGGCGGCUUGCACAGUCAGGCGUGAAAUUCCUGGGCUCAACCUGGGGACUGCGCUUGAGACGUGUGGGCUUGAGUGGGGAAGAGGGUCGUGGAAUUCCCAGUGUAGAGGUGAAAUUCGUAGAUAUUGGGAAGAACACCGGUGGCGAAGGCGGCGACCUGGUCCUUGACUGACGCUGAGGCGCGAAAGCGUGGGGGAGCAAACAGG